UGGGUAUCCCUGUGGUUGGUUCCCUCUGAAGUUCAUCUGGAGAGCGAGGCAUUGAACAUCUGAAAGAAAGGCCUCUCAGACAAAAGUUUCUUCAUGGCAGUAGGAUCACAAGAAUUGCUGAAAGUAUUUGCACGUGGAAAGGAUCUCAGCAUCAGACCUUCCAUCUGUCAGCAGCUUGAGGCACAGAACUGUCAUAUUUGUGUGGCUAGAAGGAGGCAGAUUCACCCAGCUGCUGGAAGUGAAACUCGGCGAAACAUCGGUCCUCUUUGUGUUUGGGCUUCCGCUUGGCAAGACACAUUAGUGACUGAAACGAAGAGCUGCUUUGCCACCAACAGAAGAGACAAGGCUGCUGCUAAAAGCAAAAGGCCUGGUGCUGGAGACUCCAAGGUCAAUAGAGAAGGAGGUGGAAGAAGUGCCCAGACACUGGAAGGAAGAUUCCCCUGUGCCCUGUGUUGCAGCCCAUGGUGAGGCAGCUGCGCCUCUGCAGCCUGUGGAGGACCAUGAGGAGCAGAGAUCCACUCGCAGCCUGUGGAGGAGCCCACACCAGAGCAGGUGGAUGCCUGAAGGAGGCUGUGACUCCAUGGGAAGCCCACAUUGGAGCAAGUUCCUGGUAGGACCUGGAAGCCCGUGGGGAGAAAGGAACUCAUGUGAGGGCAAGUUUUCUGUCAGGGCGAUCCUGUGAGGGACCCAGCCUGGAGCAGUCUGUUCCUGAAGGACUGUUCUUCCUGUGGAUAACCCAAGUUGGGGCAGGGUGUGAAGAGCUGCCUCUAUGGGACGGACCCAUGCUGGAAAAGUUUGUGGAGGACUUGCAAAAUUAUCUCACUCACAGUGUUGAUGUCACCAUACUAGCUGCACACAUGCUUCUCUUUUCC